ensembl:lncRNA
UGAGCAUUGGAUGGUCUGUUAAACUGAGUGCCACUCAGUUCUAUAGGACUAAGAGGACUAAGAGUUCUAUAGGACUAAGAGUAUGGACUACCACGGCAUGGCUAGCUCUGUACUGACAGAAGAGUGGUGAACAAGGGGUGUUCUUAACUGCUGGAUGCGACUGUACUUCUCUGGUCAUAAGAGCUAGGACUUGUCAGACGAGGAUGCCACAAUGAUCAGUCCCCCAUGUGAAGAUGACCUCUCUGGAUGAAGAAUACUGAACAGAGGAGGAGGAGAAGAAGAAGAAGAAUACUGAACAGAGGAGAAGAAGAAGAAGAAGAAUACUGAACCGAGGAGAAGAAGAAUACUGAACAGAGGAGAAGAAGAAUACUGAACAGAGGAAGAGAAGAAGAAGAAUACUGAACAGAGGAGGAGAAGAAGAAGAAUACUGAACAGAGGAGGAGAAGAAGAAGAAUACUGAACAGAGGAGGAGAAGAAGAAGAAUACUGAACAGAGGAGGAGAAGAAGAAGAAUACUGAACAGAGGAGGAGAAGAAGAAGAAUACUGAACAGAGGAGGAGAAGAAGAAGAAUACUGAACAGAGGAGGAGAAGAAGAAGAAUACUGAACAGAGGAGGAGAAGGAGGAGAUGAAUACUGAACAGAGGAGGAGGAGGAGGAGAUGAAUACUGAACAGAGGAGGAGGAGGAGGAGAUGAAUACUGAACAGAGGAGGAGGAGGAGGAGAUGAAUACUGAACGGAGGAGGAGGAGGAGAUGAAUACUGAACGGAGGAGGAGGAGAUGAAUACUGAACAGAGGAGGAGGAGAUGAAUACUGAACAGAGGAGGAGGAGAAGGAGAUGAAUACUGAACAGAGGAGGAGGAGGAGGAGAUGAAUACUGAACAGAGGAGGAGGAGAAGAAGAAUACUGAACAGAGGAGGAGGAGAAGAAGAAUACUGAACAGAGGAGGAGGAGAAGAAGAAUACUGAACAGAGGAGGAGGAGAAGAAGAAUACUGAACAGAGGAGGAGGAGGAGGAGAUGAAUACUGAACGGAGGAGGAGGAGGA